GACGAACGCUGGCGGCGCGCCUAAUACAUGCAAGUCGAACGAGAAGCUGUAGCAAUACGUUUGUAAAGCGGCGAACGGGUGAGGAAUACAUGGGUAACCUACCCUCGAGUGGGGAAUAACUAGCCGAAAGGUUAGCUAAUACCGCGUACGCUUCUUGGACUUCGGUUCAGGGAGGAAAGCGAUACCGUGGGUAUCGCGCUCUUGGAUGGGCUCAUGUCCUAUCAGCUUGUUGGUGAGGAACGGCUCACCAAGGCUUCGACGGGUAGCUGGUCUGAGAGGACGAUCAGCCACACUGGCACUGCGACACGGGCCAGACUCCUACGGGAGGCAGCAGUAAGGAGUAUUGCGCAAUGGGCGAAAGCCUGACGCAGCGACGCCGCGUGGGGGAUGAAGGUCUUCGGGAUU
rnacentral:rRNA from 1 species